CUGAACAAAAUCCAAGCGCUGACUAUGGCUUCCUGGGAGGAGAGAGGAUGGGAGAAAAAGGAAAUUCAGAGGACGUAUGAAAGGACUCUCCCUGUGGAAGCUGCAGAUAGGUGUCAGGCUGUACCUGGACCGUGGUGAUGCCAUGCUCGCGACCAACCAGCACUCGGCCAUCUUGAAGCUUGGCAAUCCUGGGUUCUUCUACCUUCAUGAAAUCAGCCACAAGUGUUUAAAACUGCUAAUCAAGAAGAAACACAUUCAAAAUAGCUUUGAGGGAAAGAAUUCUUCAGCCUCAGUGACAUGCAGCUCAUCAAUGUGAGCUGUGGAAGAAUAACCAGAGAUAAUAAGGAGCCUUCACAAGGGCACUGAGGGAGCAUUCCUGCCCUUAUUACCAGGCUCAGGACCGUGUGGGCAGCCAGCACAACCAACCAAAGAUGAUUCGGGUCCAACUCUUUCCUUGUAGUGCCUCUAACAAAGGACAUUAAAGUCAAUUAACUAAAGGAGUGAAUUUACAGCGUGUUCCAGCUUUGUGCAGAUGUUGUUAUUCACAAAUGGAAUGGUUUGAACCCAGUUUCAUUUCAUUUGCCUUAAAGUAUGGCUUUAUUUCUGAGUGGAGGCACUUAACACAGAGCAAUUUAUUUUGCCCCACAUUUAACUUAGCCUAACUUUCCUGCUUUUGUCUCUAGUACUAGACAGGACUAAAGGAGAGCCACCACCUAAUUAACCACCAGUUCAGUGGACUCUCACUCAUAGGCAAUGCCACAUCUGGCUUCACUCUGUUUUAAAACUUUAUGCUUCUGUAGCAGAGUGUGGUGGUUUGAGGGGUUCCAGGUUAUCCCAGACUCCCUUAAAAAACACAGUCAUGCUCUGUUUUGGUUCUAAAUUAUAAGUGAGAGAGGAACUUUCUGGCCAUUGUUUUGAAUAGAGUAAAUGAGCAGGGCAUUGGUUGUGAAAGGAAAAUAAUGACAGAGUCUACAUUCUCUGGUUUGCUAAUUGGCUUUAUAUACCAAUUGCUUAUUCUUUGUUCCCUUUGCCUUCCACCUCCUCCACUGCUCCUCUGUGCAAGACUGAGUACUAACCUUGACUGACCAGAUAACAGAGGCUGUGGGCUUUCAUGCAGCCCAUUGCAGAAGGGGAGCUUUUGUCAGCUCGAGAACCAUGCACCAUGCAUUAGUCAUGAGUGGAUCCAUGGAGCUGACUUUCACCUGGAAAGGAAGACUCUUCGUAGCCACAGCAGCACACAGCACAGUCCAGCGUUUCCCUCAGGAUAAUAAUCAAGGUUUGCCAUGUAUCUGUAGGCUGAUCUGGUAGCUGGUAUUACUUUUCUUACACAGCAGCUUCUUUUUUCCCCCAUUUUCUGCCAUAAAAGCAGCCUGGUUUUAAUUCCUCUUCCUCUACAAAGUUCCUACUCUUACAGCAGUUCAAAUCAGGUGAAAAUUUACAUGGCUCAAAGUGAGCUUGGCUUGUGGUGUUUGUUAGAUGUUUGCAAAGCCCCUGUCUUUUCACUGCUUCGUGAAAUUGUUCAAGGGGUUAGGUAAGCAACAUGUCUGUAAUCACACGUAUUUUACAGUUACAACCAUGGUAGGAUUUAUAGGGAGGAAGAAUAAAUGUUAUUAGAUCAACAAUGGGGAAGAACAGAUGUGAUUUAGAGCAUAUAAACCCCUCUUCAAGUCUGAAAUAGAAGCAUCUCUAUUCAGAUGAGCAACAGGCAUGCUGAGGCAGUAGUUUCACAAGCCUUUCUUUUGUUGACAGCACCAAUAAACGUAUUUAAAAGGUUA